rnacentral:rRNA from 1 species
UACGGAGGGUGCAAGCGUUAUCCGGAUUCACUGGGUUUAAAGGGUGCGUAGGCGGACAGGUAAGUCAGUGGUGAAAAUCUCUGGGCUUAACCCAGAAACUGCCGUUGAUACUAUUUGUCUUGAAUAUCCUGGAGGUAGGCGGAAUAUGUCAUGUAGCGGUGAAAUGCUUAGAUAUGACAUAGAACACCGAUAGCGAAAGGCAGCUUACUACAGGAUGAUGAUCGCUGAGGCACUGAAAAGCGUGGGGAGCAAACAGGAUAGAA